GGACUGGAGAGGGGUGGACUACAUGAAGAUUGGGGCUCACUCAGGACUGGCCUGUUCAAGUAGGGAGGCAGGACCGGGGCUGAGACCACCUUACACUGCUCAGCCCCCCCGCCCCCCACCCACCCAUCACACCCCCCACCAGCACCCCUCCUCCACUCCCGACACACUCUCUCUCCCUUGUCCUGUGCCUGUCUCUCUCCAUUCUACCAAGCAGCCAGCCAGACCUCCUCUCUCUUCUUCUGCCCUGUCGACAUCCCUCGCCUUUCCACGCCUUUCUCCCUCAGCCUCCUCAGCCGUGGCCGUCUGCCCUCGCCGCCUCAGACUUGGACCGUCAAUCUAUCUACAACAAGUUCCCUGGGACUUUUUCAGAAACUUUUUCCUCAAUUACUUUUUUCUUUUUUUGCUACCUCCCUUGAGACUCCAGUGCGGGUUGUGCUGUGUGUGAUAGGGGAUAGUGUUGCUCUUCGCCCUCGGGGUCUCUGUACGCUGUUGACCGGAGGAGAAGACUACUUGUCACCAUGAUCAAAGUUCAGCUGCUGCUCUUGCUGGGCCUGGUCGGCCCCUUCUGUGCCGUCGCACACGCAAGGGCUGUUAUGGCGGAGACUCCAUGAACAGGAAAUGAGGCAGCAGAUGAGGCAUGCGAGUGCACAAACACGGUCCAAGACAGGAUGGAAAGGGGCAAGGUGGAUGGGACUGGGGAGGAGGAGGGAGGACCAACAUUUGUUUAGUCAUGGGUUGUGGCAGCCAUGUUCUUACUGCUACUGAUGUGUCAAGCUAUGGGCUGGGAGAGAAAUAAAAAAAUGUCAAGAAAGAGCUAAUAUUUGUCAUUUUUCUUUAGAGUUUUCCCACAAUGCCCUUGCAAUGAGGGACUUUCUAACUGUUCCCUCUUUCCAGCGAAUACAUUUCAAAACGAUUGUGAAAUGACAGUGAAUUUUUAUGGUCAUACUCAAAGUAAUUCACCUCAGUUGUCAUGUAUCCAAUCACAAGUGGUAGCCCUUCUCUUCAGCGUGUGUGAAUAUUGUUAAUUUGCCUCUAGCAGUCUCUGACCUCUUUGCUGCCCCUCAGGCACACUGGUGACCCCAUUAGAAAGGGUGUCGGAUAUCCCUGCUGCCACCGAUAUCCUCGAAGGCGCCACCGAUGCCCCCACGGCUGAACCCAAGACUGCGACCGAUGAGGUCGGAACGAAAGCCCCUGCCACCGAUAAACCCGUCACUACUCAGGUCGAUGAGGCUGCCCCGAAUGUGACAGAGGCCGCUCCCACGGAGACCGAGGCCACUGAGGCUGCCGGGCAGGAGGCGGCCACAACGGAGGCCCCUGCUGUUGCCACCAUGGCCCCGGCGAACCCCGAAGCCACGGCAGAGGCUGAGGAGGAGGAGUUGGUGGUGGAGGAGGGUAAGGAUAGGAGAUGUCAGCUACAGAUGUAGAGAUCAUGAAGCUGAGAAACUCUGUCAAUGCUACGGUCUGUAGGUGCUCCCUUAGGCUGGAAUCAGAGGGCAAGGAUAGGUGUAGAGCUCAAGAUGAAAUUGCUCUGCCCCCAGUCUCUAAAUUUCUAUCCUUGCCUUUUAGGCAAUUGUCUCUCUCCCCAUUUCUAUAAUUUUUUCCCCUUCUCUCAGUUUCCUUCCUGUUUCACCAAACGGGUUGUUGAUUCCCUAUGGUUGGGUAACUUGGUCUUUGUGUUCCUUCCACAGAGGGCACUGGCUCUGGACAAGUGGUGGGUAUUGUGAUUGGCGCAUUGGUGGCAGUGAUCAUUGUCAUCGCCGUGGUGAUCGCCUUGGUGAGGAGAAUGGGCAAAUACUCGUAAGUUCCUCCAAGGGAUACACCCAUUGAACUAGAAUUGGUCAAUUUAUUUCUAUGAAUAUAUACAUACACACACACACACACACUCAUGUGCACAUGUACACACACUCUGCAUGUCCUGUUUGCCUUGUGAUCUUAGAGGACUAAGCAUGCUGUAGAAGCAUGAAGCUACUACUGUAUAAAACUAUACUCUCAUGUUCACAACUUAUACAUGUACUUUAAAGGGCUAUUUUGGGAUUUUGGAAAUUAAGCCCAUUAUCUACUUUCCCAGAGGCAGAUGAAUAAUUUUUUUAACCAUUUUUUCCCUCUGCAUCCAGUAUGAGGGAAGUUAGAGGUAGCAAGCCAAUGCUAACUAGCUAUGUGCAAACACUGAAAGUCUACGGGAUCAGUUAGCAUCCGUUAUACUGGACGCAGAGACAUAACAUUUGCUAUCACAGGAGGUUGGUUAAUUGGGGAGGAUGGGCUUGUGGUAAUGGCUGGAGUGGAAUGGUAUCAAAUGCGUAAAAACAUGGCUUCCGUGUGUUUGAUGCCAUUCCAGCCAUUAUUAUGAGCCGUCCUGCCCUCAGCAGCCUACACUGUUUGCCAUCCACGUGUUCAUCUGACUCUGGGGAAGUAGAUAAAGGGCUUCAUUGCCAAAAUACUAUGGUGAAAUGGGUGCAAUGGGUGAAAUGGGUGCAAUGGGUGUUACGAAGCACAUAGUUUAAUAGAUAAGACAACCUGCAUCACUUGUCAACCAUAACUGGUCCUCUGAAAAUAACACAUUUGAGUCAUAGAUUCAAAUAGAAGUGUCUGUAUUCCUUUAAAAAAAUAUGUUUUGGCCUCCCGAGUGGUGCAGUGGUCUAAGGCACUGCAGUGCUAGCUGUGCCACUAGAGAUUCUGAGUUCCGAGUCCAGGCUGUCGCAGCCGGCUGGUAAUUUUUUUAAUGUAUCUAUAGAUGUUUUAAAUGGGAACAAGAAGUGUGUUCCAAUAUUGGACACGACAGCUGCUGUACUCCUUACCACACCGCACACCUUUUCCUCUGAAAAUAUUGUUAUGUUUGGGGAUGUGCUUGCCUGCUAACAGGGAGGGGAAAAAAUGCCACAGGGCUGUUGCUAAGAAAAAGGCUGCCACAAAAGAGAGCAUCUUGGUUUCUGUCAUUUUCUCUGACUGUUUUCCCAGUUAAUCAUCUUAACCCCAUGACUCUCUGUGGUCCAAAGUCACAGACACAAAACAAAUGAUGCGUCUUAUAUUGAACCCUAUUCCUUUUUUAGGGCCCUGGUCAAAAGUAGUGCUCCAUAAAGGAGAAUGCCAUUUAGGAUGCGCCCUUUGUGUCUGUCCAUCGCCGAUCGACAGGCUGUUGGUUGCUACUGCUCUCUGAGACAUCCACUCAUGGGCCAAUGAGCCAUCAGGCAUUGUUCAUUCAGUGAAACAAGUGGCUUUAUUUGCACUUCAAUUUCAGUCAAAGGGCUCAUGUAUGGACUUAGUGGGUCCAUUGACAAAUGGUCAGUUCUGAUUGAUUGAUUAGGCUGGCUGUCUCAAUGGCGUAAUGGUUCGAAGCGGAGUAGCAACUCAAGGCUGUCAUCUUGAAUGAAUUAGUUAUCAGGAUAACACAGAUUUGUUGUUGGUCCGUUUUGAAUCACUUUUGUUUUUUAUUGUACCAACUUGACUUAAACUGUGUGAACUGAGUACAGUGUAUUAAAUAAAUACCAUUAUGUUAAGUAUGUUUCUCCUUUAAACCAUUCAAAACUAACUAUAUCCUUAUACUUCCCGAAUGGCUGUAGUGCCCAUAACUAAGAUAGCAUGCAGUAUAUGAGUGACUGGAAUUCAUUCAGUUACAAUCACCCAUGUUUUUAUUUCCUCAUUUUGGGGUCAUCCCCCCUCUACGAAUUAUCACAUUUCAUGAAACAUUUACUAAAAGUAAUGUUCUCCAUGUGCUGUGGUAUCGUUAAAAUCAUAAACCAAGCAGCUUUUUAGAUCUCAUUUAUCCAAACCAUUUUUUAAAUCAUCUGAAAUGUAUGAGCCGUGAGCAGAUUUUGUUGUGUGUUGGCCUGUGUGUUUUACUCUUUCUCCUUCUCUUCAUCCCUCAGCCCCUGAGGAGAAAGGCUGCAAGACAGGAAGUCCCAAAAAAGUUCUGGCAAUUCUGAACUACGUAAUUUCCUGUCAUUAAGCAAGCAUGCUACCAGCACGAACCUAACCAAGAUCUUGUACUGUUGCCAAAAGGAGGGGGAGGUGUGGGGGGGAGAAGAAUGUUUCUCCCCCAACCCCCAGACAGAGCCAUUGAUAUCAAUGGUCCUGCCCAACCACACAGCAACCCUCCACGCUAAUAUCCAAACAGGGGGAUGACCCACCCCCCCACUGACAUCCACAGUGACCCACAGGAUGCCAGUGAAUUUCAGGAUUUUUCAUAUGUGUUUGUAAAAAGAAAGGAAGUAAGGGAUUAUUUAACUUGUGGUAGAAAACGCUCUCUCUUAUGCAGUGGUGUGUACAUUCAUUCCAAUUUGCAUUUGAGUUGAAGACGACCUAGAAAUACGACACAAAAGAAACAGAAAAUGAAAAUAAAAAGUUGAAUACAGAGGGGGGAAAAGGCGGAAGAGAAUGUGGUGAAUUUAAUAGGGUGUAUAUACCAUGCAAAGGGACUACAGUUAUUACUUGAUUAUAUGUUGCAGUUGCUCACUAUAGCAUUCAGUUAAUGGGACAUUGGAAAGCAGCCAAAAACAUCCACAUGGUAUUUUCUCACCUUAACACCUAGCCAAUGGGUCCCUACCUACCAAAAUGUUCAACAACUAUAUGAAGCACUGUAUGCAGAAGUUGUUUCGACAUUGUGCUCAUGUUCUGAGGGUUAGCGAGGGGCUAAUGAAAAGACGCCUCAUUUGCAAGUGUAACGUGACAUUCUGCCAGCUUUAACACUGACAUAAAAACCUAAUACAGAUCUGUGAAAUUUUGCAGAAGGUUUUGUGCCACUGUCUCUGGUAUUCCCUGGAUAGUUUGGAGAUUUUACUUUUAAAGUGCAGUAAUGUGAAUGGACUGUACUUUAACUGUCACCCAUUCCAAUAGGACAGCUUUGACGACUUCAGGUUCUCACAAAAUCAUGUGUUCCGUAUACAGGUAGAAGUCAUCAGCCCCCAUUCUGCUAGCAUUGUCCUUUACAAUGUAUUCACUGUACUUCUGCUUACUUUAGUUUGGAUAGAGUAUACCAAGCAAGCACACACAAUCUUUAAAUACAGGUUCCCCCCUGAAUGCAUGCAAAGGAUGUUUUGACUUUCAUGGUUGCACCCAGUUUUAGGCACAUUUUCUUCAUAAUCGUUAGUGGACAUUAAUGGGUGUAAAAAUUAUUCAGUCUCAGCUUAGCUCCGCUUGCUUUAAGAACUCUGUUAAUAAGUGCACUGAAUGAGGGAUGACAAUUGUUUAAUGGAUCCGCUUUAGACACUGCAAUCGUUUGCAACGAUGUUUGUUUCUGCUUUUGCUCCAUAUUAUCAAAUCUAGGUCUUUCAUUUUAUUGUCAGAUUUUUUUUGUCCUUUUAUUUAAUUGCAGUGUUUUUGUUCAUACUGUUUCAAUAAACAACUGAAAACACUCCAAAUAUA
ensembl:lncRNA